GAUCAAUCAUGAAUCACAGCUCCUGACAGAGGGUCAAUCAUAAAUCACAGUUACUGAUCACAGUUCCUCACAGAGGAUCAAUCAUGAAUCACAGUUCCUCACAGAGGAUCAAUCAUGAAUCACAGUUCCUCACAGAGGAUCAAUCAUGAAUCACAGUUCCUGACAG